UUAACAAACAUUAUUUCCUGUGGCUCUUUAAAUUUUAUGUGGUCAUUGCUUACCACUUACUCGAUUAUGACUUUAAAGAAAGAAAAAAUUCUGUGCUGAUUUAGAAUGCUUGAAUAUUCCAAUUCCAAUUGAAGUGCAUCUAUCUUGUCAAAUAGUAUGGUAUUCAGUUUUCUCACCCUCCCUCCUGUUUGUUGUUGCCAAGAUUUAUAAGAUGAGGAAACUGAGGCUCUAAGAAUUUCAAUCAAAUGGCACAUUUCUCAUCAAUAAAUGACAGAAAGAGGAUUUGAACUGCGACCUAAUGUUCUGAGAUCCAGUAUUCUUUCUAAUAUGCCAUAAGUCCCUUUGAAAGUGACCAUGAAAGGGAUUAUUACUGGAGAAGUAUUUUUUUGUACUACAUUAAAGGAAAAAAAAUAUGGCUCUGUAUAUAAUAGGGAGUCUUCUUAAUAUUUCUAAAGAGUUCUCCCCUGAUUUGGGUUUGCAUUUUAAUAUUCAUUAUGAUUUAAUAAAUGAUUAGAGCAGACUUACAGCUGAGGUCUUCACAACUAUUUUCUUUUGCUGGAAAGUGGUUAAAAACAACUGCCCUUCAGAACACAUCUCUUUCUGCCAUUUUCACCUUACACAUCAGAACAAUUCUUGCCAGAGGAGGAGGAGGAAUGAACAACUAUCCAAAAGGCCCUAAAUUCCAAUUUCUUAUAUCCUUUCAUCCCUGGCCUUUCACUGUGCCCCAAAGAGUUUUCUCUGGUGCUCUAAAAAAGCCAGUUCAUCUACCCAAGUCAAAACUGACUCAGAUCUCAAAAAAUAGAACUAUGAUGAUUUCUUAGUAAUAGAAGAACCAGGAAAAUGACUGAUGAAUCCUAAGGAGGAGCUGGUAAGUAAGGAAUUAUGAAGAGACUGUUUUGUCUGAGAUCUUCUAUUCUGCAGGUCAGCUGUUCAUA